AUUGAACGCUGGCGGCAGGCUUAACACAUGCAAGUCGAGCGGAGAGAGGUAGCUUGCCACUGACCUUAGCGGCGGACGGGUGAGUAAUGCUUAGGAAUCUGCCUAUUAGUGGGGGACAACAUUUCGAAAGGAAUGCUAAUACCGCAUACGUCCUACGGGAGAAAGCAGGGGAUCUUCGGACCUUGCGCUAAUAGAUGAGCCUAAGUCGGAUUAGCUAGUUGGUGGGGUAAAGGCCUACCAAGGCGACGAUCUGUAGCGGGUCUGAGAGGAUGGUCCGCCACACUGGGACUGGGACACGGCCCAGACUCCUACGGGAGGCAGCAGUGGGGAAUAUUGGACAAUGGGCGCAAGCCUGAUCCAGCCAUGCCGCGUGUGUGAAGAAGGCCUUAUGGUUGUAAAGCACUUUAAGCGAGGAGGAGGCUACUUUAGAUAAUACCUAGAGAUAGUGGACGUUACUCGCAGAAUAAGCACCGGCUAACUCUGUGCCAGCCGCCGCCGUAAGAC
rnacentral:rRNA from 1 species